UCUUUGGCCUCUGGAUAUACUUUCAGGCUAGACCUACCCAGGAAACCUCUAUAACUUAAAGUCAAUUGAUUUGAGACUUUUUCAUCUUCAAAAUUCAUUCCAGCAACACCUUGAUUCGUGUUUGAUUGAAUAAUUGCGAGAAGACAUGUACACCAGGGUUUAAGAAUCUUAAGGAGCUAUAUGGCUCUGAAGGACUGUUAUGAAGAGAAUUCUUCCUAGUAACAGAGCUAAAAAGUUUGUUGAUUUGUCUUCUGCCCCUCCUACAAGAGAAUUGGAAUAUUUUAAACCAAAGAAUCAAGCUGUAGAAGUUUGAAUACUUCAUUCAGUA